GCCUAGUUAGCUUAGUUGGUAGUGCGUCUGCCUUGUAAGCGCUAGGCCGUGGGUUCAAUUCCCGCCCGGGGCG
rfam:Asian citrus Psyllid, Diaphorina citri - Florida Strain, whole genome shotgun sequence.